rnacentral:misc_RNA from 1 species
UCCGGCUUAACGCCGGCAGUCCCACUAGAGUGCCCAACUGAAUGAUGGCAACUAAUGGCAAGGGUUGCGCUCGUUGCGGGACUUAACCCAACAUCUCACGACACGAGCUGACGACAACCAUGCACCACCUGUGAACCGGCCCCAAAGGGGAAACCACAUUUCUGCGGCGAUCCGGCCCAUGUCAAGCCUUGGUAAGGUUCUUCGCGUUGCAUCGAAUUAAUCCGCAUGCUCCGCCGCUUGUGCGGGCCCCCGUCAAUUCAUUUGAGUUUUAACCUUGCGGCCGUACUCCCCAGGCGGUCUACUUAUUGCGUUAGCUGCGUCACAAAGUCCUCAAGGGCCCCAACGGCUAGUUCUCAUCGUUUACGGCGUGGACUAC